rnacentral:rRNA from 1 species
GAUGAACGCUGGCGGCGUGCCUAAUACAUGCAAGUCAAGCGAACAGACGAGGAGCUUGCUCCUCUGACGUUAGCGGCGGACGGGUGAGUAACACGUGGAUAACCUACCUAUAAGACUGGGAUAACUUCGGGAAACCGGAGCUAAUACCGGAUAAUAUAUUGAACCGCAUGGUUCAAUAGCGAAAGACGGUUUUGCUGUCACUUAUAGAUGGAUCCGCGCCGCAUUAGCUAGUUGGUAAGGUAACGGCUUACCAAGGCAACGAUGCGUAGCCGACCUGAGAGGGUGAUCGGCCACACUGGAACUGAGACACGGUCCAGACUCCUACGGGAGGCAGCAGUAGGGAAUCUUCCGCAAUGGGCGAAAGCCUGACGGAGCAACGCCGCGUGAGUGAUGAAGGUCUUCGGAUCGUUAAACUCUGUUAUUAGGGAAGAACAAAUGUGUAAGUAACUAUGCACGUCUUGACGGUACCUAAUCAGAAAGCCACGGCUAGCUACGUG